GAUGAACGCUGGCGGCGUGCCUAAUACAUGCAAGUCGAGCGAACAGACGAGGAGCUUGCUCCUUUGACGUUAGCGGCGGACGGGCGAGUAACACGUGGGUAACCUACCUAUAAGACUGGGAUAACUUCGGGAAACCGGAGCUAAUACCGGAUAAUAUUUCGAACCGCAUGGUUCGAUAGUGAAAGAUGGCUUUGCUAUCACUUAUAGAUGGACCUGCGCCGUAUUAGCUAGUUGGUAAGGUAACGGCUUACCAAGGCAACGAUACGUAGCCGACCUGAGAGGGUGAUCGGCCACACUGGAACUGAGACACGGUCCAGACUCCUACGGGAGGCAGCAGUAGGGAAUCUUCCGCAAAGGGCGAAAGCCUGACGGAGCAACGCCGCGUGAGUGAUGAAGGUCUUCGGAUCGUAAAACUCUGUUAUUAGGGAAGAACAAACGUGUAAGUAACUGUGCACGUCUUGACGGUACCUAAUCAGAAAGCCACGGCUAACUACGUG
rnacentral:rRNA from 1 species